AUUUAAUUACUAUCGCGGAGUUAUCACGGUGGAUUUACUGUAGCCUAGGCUACGAGGUUCUUGGGAGAGAAAAAAAACCUCUGCACUUAACGGCUGGAUUGAAAACUUUCUCGAAAAGAUUGUCCUGAGCCCACCGUAGAUCGCCAAAAGAUUCUAGGUGUGCUGAAAGGGCUGCUGGGUCUACCACACGGCUGGGUCAAGGUGGAGAGCUGCCUAGUCAAGCAGAACUACUAGAAGCGUAGUGCAACGCCGGACCAGACCAGCCACAAAGCAGUGACCAGAUACAGCUACACCGACCUUGUUGUAAGAAUAUCGGCUUCGCCAUACACAAGAAGGACAGCACACCCAGCCACAGACAUUUAUUCCCCCUCUCAACUGAACUGGCUUCCAGUCCCAUUUUAUCAAUUUUCUCCUCUAGCUUGGGCCCCCAUUUUUAACUCUUUUUUUAAUCUAUUGAAUUGUUAAUAAAAUAAUUACUUGCAAA